AGUGAACGCUGGCGGUAGGCCUAACACAUGCAAGUCGAACGGCAGCACAGUAAGAGCUUGCUCUUACGGGUGGCGAGUGGCGGACGGGUAAGGAAUACAUCGGAAUCUACUUUUUCGUGGGGGAUAACGUAGGGAAACUUACGCUAAUACCGCAUACGACCUACGGGUGAAAGCAGGGGAUCUUCGGACCUUGCGCGAUUGAAUGAGCCGAUGUCGGAUUAGCUAGUUGGCGGGGUAAAGGCCCGCCAAGGCGACGAUCCGUAGCUGGUCUGAGAGGAUGAUCAGCCACACUGGAACUGAGACACGGUCCAGACUCCUACGGGAGGCAGCAGUGGGGAAUAUUGGACAAUGGGCGCAAGCCUGAUCCAGCCAUACCGCGUGGGUGAAGAAGGCCUUCGGGUUGUAAAGCCCUUUUGUUGGGAAAGAAAAGCAGCAGGUUAAUACCCCGCUGUUCUGACGGUACCCAAAGAAUAAGCACCGGCUAACUUCGUG
rnacentral:rRNA from 1 species